rnacentral:rRNA from 1 species
UAAUACGUAGGGUCCAAGCGUUGUCCGGAAUUAUUGGGCGUAAAGAGCUCGUAGGCGGCGUGUCGCGUCGGAUGUGAAAGCCCGGGGCUUAACUCCGGGUCUGCAUUCGGUACGGGCAUGCUGGAGUUCGGUAGGGGAGACUGGAAUUCCUGGUGUAGCGGUGAAAUGCGCAGAUAUCAGGAGGAACACCGGUGGCGAAGGCGGGUCUCUGGGCCGAUACUGACGCUGAGGAGCGAAAGCGUGGGGAGCGAACAGGAUUAGAUACCCUGGUAGUCCACGCUGUAAACGGUGGGAACUAGGUGUGGGGAGCAUUCCACGUUCUCUGCGCCGCAGCUAACGCAUUAAGUUCCCCGCCUGGGGAGUACGGCCGCAAGGCUA